ACUCAUUAGGGUUCAUGGGUUGAG
rnacentral:siRNA from 1 species